GAUGAACGCUGGCGGCGUGCCUAAUACAUGCAAGUCGAGCGAACAGAUGAGGAGCUUGCUCCUCUGACGUUAGCGGCGGACGGGUGAGUAACACGUGGAUAACCUACCUAUAAGACUGGGAUAACUUCGGGAAACCGGAGCUAAUACCGGAUAAUAUAUUGAACCGCAUGGUUCAAUAGUGAAAGACGGUUUUGCUGUCACUUAUAGAUGGAUCCGCGCCGCAUUAGCUAGUUGGUAAGGUAACGGCUUACCAAGGCAACGAUGCGUAGCCGACCUGAGAGGAUGAGCGGCAACACUAGAAAUGAAACACGGUCCAGACUCCGACGGGAGGCAGCAGGAGGGAUUCUACAGCAAUGGGCGAAAGCAUGAAGGAACAACGCCGGGGGAGUGAUGAAGGUCUGCGGAUCGAAAAACUCUGUUAUGAGGGAAGAACAAAAGGGUAAGUAACUAUGCACGUCUUGACGGUACCUAAUCAGAAAGCCGCGGCUAACUAC
rnacentral:rRNA from 1 species